CGCGCGCGCGUGCGUGUUGUCUGCGCGACGCUAGGAUCUUCGGCGCCCUCUGGGUCUGACCUCUCGGCUCUGGUCUGGGCGACAGAUGGGACAGACGGUGUGCACAGGAGCUCCUGCCUGGUGUGGAAUGGGGCUCCGCUAAGCUCCCGCUCACAUGGCUGCCUGCGUGCCACAGCAGCUCUUCAUGACGGGGCAGGUAGGAAACAGUCCAGAGCAUCCUUUCAGGUGAGUUCCGUGCUGCGCGAGUGCAGAGUUGGGAACGCAGUAGGGUGGUGCUGAAAAUCCCUCUGGAUGCAGGGAGCAGCGAGCUCCUGCUGGUUGUGCUUAAAAACUUGCGGCAUGUAAAAUGGAGCUUUUUACAUUUUCUUAUAAUAUACUAUUGCUUUUAUUCAAAACGACGUUCCCCCUCAUUGGAGCAGGACUUUUUCCUGCAGAGAUGGGGAUGCCGAGAGCGUCCUGCGUAGGCUGCCCCGGCGCGGCCUCUGUCCUGGCACCAGGUGAUCAUAGAGCAACACAUCCAGAUUAAAAUAUAAAGUGAAGGAGAUGAAGCAUCUGAAAAGACUGCCUAUUCCUUAGAGACGACUGUAUUGUCCUACUAGUUCCUGCAGAGGAUGCCACGUCCUGCCUCACAGACGAAGAUUAUAACCCAGAAGAAAAGGUGUUUGGUGGCAUUCAUUAUUUUACCCAGUCAUUUAACCUGAAUUCAUUUUAGGCCACACAGAGCCUGUCAGGCAGCAGGUCAGCAUUUUGGGGCAUGUGGAGGAGCAGUAGCACAGGCCGGUGGGUUGCAGAGGACCUUGCAUGUCUCACCUUUGGCACUGCAGAGCCCUCACUGCUGCUGGGUGAGGAUGUCGACCCCUCCCGGGAACAGCUUCUGUGCGAUUGGUGCCCACCACCGACUAGAUGUGUUGCCAGAACACGAAAUGAAAACCCUGCAUUAGCCAGGGAGUGGCAUGAUGAUCACUUCUGGUGUGAGUAUCUGAGAAUCACAGCUUAAGGUAGAUUUUUUGGGAGGUGUGGAUGAGUGAAUGCCAGAAAUAAGCAUUUGACAUUGAGCCUUUGUGAGUCUGACCAAGUGGGUGUCAAAGAAGAGACUCUGGCAGAGUCAGCACACUAAUUUGUGAAUGUAAGUGACAGAAAAACUAUUCGUUAUGCAUAUAAUCAAACUGCAAGUUUAAUAGAUAAUGCAAGUGCACACAAAAACUAUUUAAUGACACCAGAAAUAUGGCUUCAGUCAGCAAAAGGCAAGACAUUGGAAGUGGGUCUGAGACCUUGAACAGAAACGCUUGCACGGCGCUGGAAGGGCUCCCAGGUGCUGGAACAGGUUGGCAUCAGGAGCUCUCUGCAUGUGCUGAAAACCCUCUGGUAGAAAAUCAGGCCUCGGGAGGAAGCAUUUUUAUGUAGACUUUUUCAUGGCUUGAGUAUUGCAGAGGACUUUGCAGAACAAUUUAUGAAUAAAGUCUCAGUGCAGAAAUUGCCAGAGCAAACGGUCACCAGAUGCUCAGAAAAAUCCAGCGUAGAAAGGGAUGUGUUUCCCAGGAGGAUUUUGGCUUUACUGGGGAAGGAACUGUAACUUCCCCCUGAAUUUUGUCUUCCCACUUGCGCUCAAUCAAAUCUUCCGUUUCCUCGUGAACCUCAUCUCCAUCGUGUCUUUUCCCCACAUCUUCAAGUUGUCAGGGGGCCCAGUUGGGGUGUCCAGGCUCUCUCCCGUCCGGAGGCCUGCGUCGCCCGCUGACAUUGCAGGGGUGACGCUGACUGGAGGCCCAGUGUCACAGGCAGGCUUCGCUCUGGGAUCCCGGUGAGAGCUGCUGUUCCCGUGGUUGAUGCCCCAGGAGACGGCCCUGCACUCUGGGACCCAGCGGUGACCCCUGUGGCUGUGGUGGUGGCUGAGGUUGAGUGCCAGCCUGGGUCUGGGGAGCAGCCACACCUCCCUGACCACUCUGCCCUAGUACCCUUGUGCUGCUGUAACAAAACCCGGGUCACUGUUUUGUGACACUGAGUCACUGACAAAGAAGAGAAAUGUGCUGCUCACAGUCCUCCGGAUGGGGAAGUCUAAGACCACGGUGCCGGCAGCUCUGGUGUCCGGGAAGGGCCUGGGCCCUGCUUCCCACAGGGCACCUCUCGCUGUGUCCAGCAGGGACGAGCUCUGUGUCCUCACACUCAGGAGAGAAAGAAAGGCAGAAAGGCUUCGCUAGUUCCUCUAGCCCUUUCCUGAGGAGCCGACGCCGCCCCCAGGGCCGAGCGCCAUCCCCUGCCCAGGGCCCAGCUCUGAGCCAUCACUUGGAGGCCUGGGGGCACGGCCUCGGACCACAGCAGGCCCUGGGGCUGUGGUCACUCUGCACCCCCAUGUUAAUAGCACGUAAAUGCUUACAUUUUAAUGUCCGAGGGGGGAACUUGUCCACCAGUUUUGCAAAAAGGCAAACUCUGAGUUCCAGUUUGGGCGCAGGUGUUCAACCCUCCACGUAAGCUGUUUUCCUUACAGUUUGGAACAUAAGUGAAUUUUGACUUUUGACGCAAAUGCGUAGUGUGUGAUGAAUAAAUUACUAAGUGAAUUUA